AAGCAGAAUUUGCCCGUCUUACAUCUGUUGACCUGAAAGGGUUCCUUUUUGCUGUGCUUGACCAUUAUGGAGAGGUUCGUGGAGCUGUACAAAAUCAAGAGCGGCAUAGAAAGGCUAACUAGGCUCAUAAGAUGCUUCGGAGAUGAUAGCCCUACACAAAGGAAGAGGACAGAGGACCUCAUUUUCUAAAGGAAGAUCCCUCACACACUUUCAAGACUGUGAAGCCGACAGGUAUUGAAGACACGUUUUCUAAGAGGAUGAAAGUUGGCAUUGCGA